rnacentral:rRNA from 1 species
UACAGAGGGGGCAAGCGUUGUUCGGAAUUACUGGGCGUAAAGGGCGCGUAGGCGGCCUUCUAAGUCGAACGUGAAAUCCCCGGGCUUAACCUGGGAACUGCAUUUGUGACUGCAUCGCUGGAGUGCGGCAGAGGGGGAUGGAAUUCCGCGUGUAGCAGUGAAAUGCGUAGAUAUGCGGAGGAACACCGAUGGCGAAGGCAAUCCCCUGGGCCUGCACUGACGCUCAUGCACGAAAGCGUGGGGAGCAAACAGG